UGAUUUACAACGACGGCUUUACACAACUUGUUCCUGUUCCUCUGAGAGAGAUGGUCACCAAAAGUACAAUGGACAAGUGGAUAUUUUUCUACACAGUCUUUCUGCCCACCCUGAUCUCCAUCACAGAAAACAGAGAGUCUAGGGUCCGAGUGGUCCUGAUGGCAGAUCCAGCCUGGUCAAAUGUGGUAGCAGGAGAGACUGUGAAUUUCACCUGUAGGGUAAAUGAUUCAGAGCCAUUCAUGCAAUGGGAAUAUUCCUGGAAGAAGCGAAGAGGAGCAGAAGAGACCACACUCUCCUCCGAUACUGAAGGAGGCUUAUCUGUGUACACUGUGAGUCAUGUCACUGAGUCUGACAGCGCUCAGUACUUGUGCGAAGCAAGGGCAGGAGAAACCUCAGCUGUCAGUGUGACACAUACGUUGAACGUGCUUCAGUUAGUCACGCUGACCGUACAGCCUGACAGGAGGACCUUCAAAAACACAGAACAAGUGACGCUGAGCUGUAAGAUUCACAGCAAUCUGAGUGACUGGGGAUAUCUGUGGUACAAAGACGAACAGGAGCUUCCUAUAGACACGGCCGUGGACACAUAUACCAUCCAUUCUGCUGUUCCAUCAGACUCUGGAAAAUAUUCCUGUCGGGGAAAUAAAAAGGGCGAACCUAUAUACUCUGACGGCAGCAACACUGUCAAUAUCAACAUUUCUGGUCUGUUAGUUGGUCGCCAGGCUGUGCUCACCCUGGAGACUCCAUGGGCAGCCAUGUUCGGCACAGGCAAUCUGACACUGAGGUGUGUGGUGAGGGGGAGUCCGGCUGAGUGGAACUACACGUGGUACAGAAACGGACUGAGUCUUCCGCCGGGCCCCGGCAGAGACACACUCGCACUGACCCCAGGAAACCACUCCUACCACAGCGAGUAUAUGUGUAGAGGAGAGAGCACAGAUGACAUGACUUAUACAGAGUUCAGCAAAGGAUGUGUACCCGCCCAUAAGAACCUCCAUCGUUGACCAUAGAUCCUGACGGAUUGGCAUUAAAAGCACCUCAGCAGGUGGUCCACCCAAACUCCUAGGGGAAGAAUAGUUUCCCGUGCACUGGAGAAUCUAGCCCGCUGUGCUCUGGGGGCGGCCAUCUUGCUCUUCCUGGCUAUCAUCGUGAAUGAAGGCUUCUGGAGGAGGGUGAGGAAGAUGAGAGGAGCUACAUCUGAGGAAUGAUUGAUUGUACCUUUCACAGAGAAGUAGAACAUCAAAUUAUUCAAGUAUAAAGCUGAGAUUUUUUUUUUUUUUUUUUUUAAAGCACCCAGGACCUUUCUCAGAAAAAAAUGAUAAUUAUCUUGAAAUGUAUUGCCAUUGAGGCUAUGUUCCACUGAAAAACGCAUCUUUGGUCUUGCAGAUGAUUACAGAGGUACAAACUUAAAUUAUCAUAAGGUGUGGACUUUAUUCCAGCAAAGUAUGUAAAGCUAAUUUGCGUAUGUUUUUCAAGAAAAACUCCAAAUUUGAUUGAAAAUGCUUUUUUCUUUUCAGUGGAACAGAACCUUAAAAGAAUCAAUGCAUGUAUGCGUUUUGAUGUCAAGUCUUAUAUAAGCUUUCUGUUCCCCAAAUGUAAUUUUCCGGGACAUUUUUUUUUUUUUAGAUAAAAUUUCUUAAUGUCGUUCAGGGUGGUUCCGUUUUUGAUUGAGAGUGCCACAGUGUCACAAUAAAAACUUUCAUUCAAGCUGGCA